rnacentral:rRNA from 2 species
ACUAAUGACUCUCGGCAACGGAUAUCUCGGCUCACGCAUCGAUGAAGAACGUAGCAAAAUGCGAUACUUGGUGUGAAUUGCAGAAUCCCGUGAACCAUCGAGUUUUUGAACGCAAGUUGCGCCCGAAGCCAUCCGGCCGAGGGCACGCCUGCCUGGGCGUCACGC